GUGCAAAGAUGACCUGAAUUUGCUUCAGGUUCAGUUCUGCUUAGAUGCAUUUAGAUGCUCAUUUCAGCUGAACUUGGUGGAAAAGGAGGUUUGGAUGGUUCUCUUUAUUAUUCUUUGAUGAAGUCACAGAGUAAGUGUUGAUGUUUUACACUGAAGAUCAAUUUCCACAUGUGCACACUGAUUGUGGUGCCACCAUUCUCCAGUCCAUGGUGAGGGAUCAGUGAAACGAUGUCUGUUCACCAUGGUGCCCAGGACAUCGCCGGUUCUUGGUACAUGUGUGUGGAUCUGAAUCACUUUAAGUUAAUAAAGAUUCUAGUCCAAAGAUGGUUCCUUUUUUUUCCCCCUCAUGGACGGCGAGUUUUCUUACAAGGGCAUUUCUUCCUUGGAGGAUUGCGGCAGAGAAAAUAGAAAGUUUGGGUAGAAGAGUGGGGGAUGAAAAGUCUGAAAACAGAGGGGUCUGGAUGUUGCUCCCAUUUCCCUCUCAUCUGCUGCAACCCCCUCAACUCUCUCAUGUGCAGAAACCCUCGGCCUUCAUUGUGUUUUCUCUGCUCUGCUUCAGGAAGUGAGCAGAAGCCAAAAGGGAGUCAGAAAGCACGUCAGGGAGUUCCCAUGUGGCUCAGCAGGUUAAGGAUCAGGGCUGUCACUGCUGUGGUGCAGGCUUGAUCCCUCCCCUGGGAACUUCCUUAUGCCUCGGGCACAGCGCCACCACCCCCCCCCGCCCCCUGCCCAAAUAAAGCAGGUCAGAGGGUGUCUUCUCCUCCCUCGCCUGUUGGAGCAUCAAAUCAGCCUCAGCACCGUGGGACCACACUGAGUUCACGGGAACAUUGUGGGCACAGAUUCAGAGGAGGACGCUGUAACUAAAGGUGAAGCAGGCAGGGCCCCCAGAUACAGAAUGGAUCCGAGUCGGCAGUGGAAUGUGCCGGAGAAGUCCGCUGACCCGACCUUACAACAUGGGUCUCACUUUGUUUGGCUUGUUCACCACCAGCACCCUUGUCCCAAGUCGCUCUCGUUUUUGCUCAGGUUACUGCAGACCACUGACAUACUCUGUAGAGUAACCAAGGGAUCUUUUAGCAGAACAAGGGCAGUGUCUUCACUGCUGGCUCCCCUGCCCCAGCCCUGCCUGUGUCCGCAGCCUCAUCAUUUCUCACUCCUGCAGGGCACGCUGAUCUCUGUGUGGUUCCUCAGGAACACAGACUUCCCUCCUUCUCUGGGCCCCUGCCUCCUCUGUGACCGCCCACCCCCCCAUGUCUCCUCCUCCUCUUUCAGUUUCCAGCUGAAGUCUCCCUCCCUCAAGGAUGCUUCAACAGCACCCCCCACGCCCCCCGUGCUGCUUGCACCCCGCGCUUCUCCUUCACAACAUUCAUGGCAACUUACCAUCUGUAUUUGCUUUUGUGACUAUUUCUUUCAUGCCCAUCACUAGGAAAAGCUCCCUGAGGGCAGACAGACUGUGUUUUACAAACUACUGCGUAUCCAGGACCCAACACAGUGCUUGACUCUUUGCUGAGUCGGUGGAAGCAAAAAGGCAUUUGUUAAUCUCUUCUGUUGGGAACAUACUUUGGAGCUGUUCUAAGACCUUUUCUAAGAGACAUCAUACAGGUAAGGAGCUUCUUUAUAAAGAUAUGGUUCCUUUUUAUAAAAUUUAGAGGCAUUAUCUUCAAUCCACCACAGCUCCAAUUAGUGACUUAUCCUCCACCACCGCUAUAUCUACCAGUGCCUACUCUCACUGUUCUGGCCACAUUACCCAACAUGGGCUUGCAGGAGACACUGAAUGGGACACUGAACUUGAGGGCGGGGGGCUCCUUGUGACUCAGUUUCCAAGUCAGUAAAAGGAGGGGGUUUGAAGCAGCUGCUAUUUAAGACCCUAACUGAAAAUUUCAGAUCUUAUGAGUUAUUAAUUCAACAAAAAAAAUAUAAACCAGUAACUCACGAAAUAGAUAAAAAUGGCCAGCACACUCCAAGAGUAGCCAAAGAGUAAACUAGAAAAAUCAGACACCGUCUUUGCAGAUCAGAUUGGCAAAGAUGAAAAAUAAUAAUACCUUCGUUCCGCAUUUCCUUUUUCACAAGCAUCAUUUGCAUCACUGGCCAGUGUUGGAAGUGGCUGCCUGGGUCUGUGUAUCCAAGUCUUGAAACUACAUGUAGCAGACUGUGUUCCCGAAGACGGCCUCACCGUGCAGCCUGCCACCCCACAAGCUCUGCCUGCAAUGAGGUGCUGAGCACUCUCAACUAAGAGGUGGGGGUCUACAUGCCCCCCAACCUGCGUGGUCUGUACAGUAGACAUGCUACUGCAUGGCCUCUGAGGCCAAGCUGGAAAAGGCCACUUCCACCGGGGCUCUGUCGGGAGAUAAGCCUUUGGAGCCCUCACUGCCAUGGCAGAAGCCAAGCUACCCUGAAACUGCAGUGCUGAAAAAGACCAGAGAGAGACAGAGAAGGUGCCCGAGUCCCAGCUGUCCCCGCGCCUAGCCGUCUGACUUCCUUCUGAUGUCUCUUUCACUGUGGGUGAAAGCCUUCAGCAGGUCCCAGCCUCCCAGCCGACGUCACAUGCAACAGAAAUCAGCCAUGUCCCACCUGAGCCUGGUCCAAACUGCAGAUCCGGGAGUCAAAUUAAUGCUGAGGCUUGAAGUACUAAGUUUUAGGUGGCUUGUUACAUAGCACCAGACAAUUAAAACAUUAUAUACAGUGCUGGGUUAAAAGAUAUCUAUAUUCAUGUACACACACACAUACACACACACACACACACAGAGUUCUGGAUUUACACAUCUGUGUGUAUACAUCUAUCUACAGAUGUACAGAUAUAGAUAUUUUUAACCUAGCAAUUUCAGUUCUAGGAAUUUAUGCUAAGGAAAUGCUUGGAAAGUUUACAAAAAUGGCUACAUAGCAUUAUUUAUAAAAUGAAACAUUAUGAAACCAUGCAAAAUAUUCAGCAAUCAGGCAACUGAUUAAAUGUAUUACUUUAUGUUCAUAUGAUCAACUAUGAAGCACCCACAUCAAAAACGAUGCUGCAUUUUCUGACAGGACACUGAGUCAUGAAUCACAAACUAUGAUUAAUUAAAUUCUUUGCACCCAAGGUCCCUUUUUCCUACCAGUCUUUUAAUAGGAUCUUAUGUACAAAUAGGCAGACCUUAGGUGUCAAAACUAGAUUAAUCAUAUUCAUCAGUGGUUCAUGCCUGGCUCUCUGUAAAUUACUUCUUUGUACAAAGAUAUGAAAGCAUACUUCCCUACGCCCUCACCAGCAAAUGUUCCCCCCUCCGUGCCCCCACGGCUAGAAAAUAAUCUCAGUGCUAUGUACUUUUUAUAUAUUUAGUAUAUAAACCCCUUGUCAUACACUGCAAAUAUUUUUCUGUUUGCCUUUGAACUGGUUUCAUGGUAUAUUUUGUAGCAUAUAAGUUAUACUAUGUCAGACUUUCUAGGAUCGAAUCUUAUCAAAUCUCUUCCAUUUCAAUUGCUUAGACCUUUGUUUUCAAAGCUAAAUACACUGUUAAUGAUUAGCAUUAGUGGAGGUGGAAGUGGCUGAACAGACUCAUCUGCAUGGAUGGUAUUUUCUACUUGAACACUUGAAGGAUAACCUUCAGCAACUAUUCUGCUGCCACUGUUCCCAGAAGCUGUACACUUGUGUAACUGAGAGUUCUUAACAAGCGGUUUCGCUGAUACUUUUUUGUUCAAAACUGAGCAGUUCCAUUCCUCAAUGAACUGAACUUUACUGAUGGGGCUGUGAGCUGAUAUUUAAUGAGCCUGCAGCACUACAAAGCAUGCUGCUCCGUUUCUUGUUGCUCUAAGGAAAUAAAAAUAACCUUCAAAAUAAUCUCUCUAUAGACAUCUCACAAAAUGCAAGGUUCUAAGUUCUGUAAUUUUUCAGUUUUCCUAAACAGAGUCCUUUAGUGGUUUAUGCAAAUGUAGGCAGCUCCAGCUUUAGAUACCUUAGCUGCUUUUGAUGAAAGCCUUGACUUGACAAACACCCUAAGAUCUACUGCUUUAUGGCUCUUUUUGUACCCAAUUCGUACAGCACACAAUGAGUACUCCAUUCUAUAUUUUUAUCUGUAUUAAAAUAAAAUAAAGUUUGGCACUUUAUCACCCUAACAUACAAUGUGGGGUUAUACAUGCUGCUGUUGUCCUGUGUGUAACUUGUGUGGAGGUUUGACAGCCCCUUUUAAGAGGUGCCACUGCCAAUUUAUAAUCUCAGCAUGAAAAAUUAUUAUUCACUGUUUUCCCAUGUGUAUAUAGAAUACAUUUUUCCUUUUUCUUUCUCUUUUUUCCUAUUAUUAUGUAUAUUUUAAAUUAACUGAUACAGGGACACUUAUCAUACAUUACCAAUAUCAAGACAGAUUAUGUAAUCCCGUUACAUGUAAUUAGCAGAUGAUCUGAGUCAAAACGUAAAAGGUUAUCAAAGAACAAGAAAGAGUGUCAGGGUGUUCCUGUUGUAGCUCGGGGUUAAGGACCCAACUUGUCUCCAUGAGGACACAGGUUUGAUCCCCAGCCUUGCUCAGUGGGUUAAGGAUCCGGCCGCACUGCCACAAACGGCAGUGUAGGUCGCAGAUGCGACUCAGAUCCAGUGUUGCCAUGGGCAGAGCAUAGAAGGGGAAAAAAAAGAGUGUCAGAGUGUCAGUGUCCCUCUGUAGUUCUGUUUGUUUUUGUUUUUGUUUUCCUUUUUUGGCUGCACACGUGAAAGUCCCUGAGCCAAGGAUCGAAUCUGAGCUGCAGCUUCGACCUACACUGCAGCUGCAGCAAUGAUGGAUC
rnacentral:lncRNA from 1 species